AUUGAACGCUGGCGGCAUGCCUUACACAUGCAAGUCGAACGGUAACAGGUCUUCGGAUGCCGACGAGUGGCGAACGGGUGAGUAAUACAUCGGAACGUGCCUAGUAGUGGGGGAUAACUACUCGAAAGAGUGGCUAAUACCGCAUGAGAUCUACGGAUGAAAGCAGGGGAUCGCAAGACCUUGUGCUACUAGAGCGGCCGAUGGCAGAUUAGGUAGUUGGUGGGAUAAAAGCUUACCAAGCCGACGAUCUGUAGCUGGUCUGAGAGGACGAUCAGCCACACUGGGACUGAGGCACGGCCCAGACUCCUACGGGAGGCAGCAGUGGGGAAUUUUGGACAAUGGGCGCAAGCCUGAUCCAGCAAUGCCGCGUGCAGGAUGAAGGCCUUCGGGUUGUAAACUGCUUUUGUACGGAACGAAAAGCCCUGGGUUAAUACCCUGGGGUCAUGACGGUACCGUAAGAAUAAGCACCGGCUAACUACGUGCCAGCCGCCGCGGUAAUAC
rnacentral:rRNA from 1 species